GACAGAGGGUGCAAACGUUGCUCGGAAUUACUGGGCGUAAAGCGCGUGUAGGCUGACCUUCAAGUCGGAUGUGAAAUCCCUGAGCUCAACUCAGGAACUGCAUCCGAAACUGAAGGCCUAGAGUAGUGGAGAGGGAAGCAGAAUUCCUGGUGUAGAGGUGAAAUUCGUAGAUAUUCGCAAGAACACCAGUGGCGAAGGCGGCUCACUGGCCCGGUACUGACGCUGAGGUGCGAAAGCGUGGGGAGCAAACAGG
rnacentral:rRNA from 1 species